rnacentral:rRNA from 1 species
GAUGAACGCUGGCGGCGUGCCUAAUACAUGCAAGUCGAGCGAACGGACGAGAAGCUUGCUUCUCUGAUGUUAGCGGCGGACGGGUGAGUAACACGUGGAUAACCUACCUAUAAGACUGGGAUAACUUCGGGAAACCGGAGCUAAUACCGGAUAAUAUUUUGAACCGCAUGGUUCAAAAGUGAAAGACGGUCUUGCUGUCACUUAUAGAUGGAUCCGCGCUGCAUUAGCUAGUUGGUAAGGUAACGGCUUACCAAGGCAACGAUGCAUAGCCGACCUGAGAGGGUGAUCGGCCACACUGGAACUGAGACACGGUCCAGACUCCUACGGGAGGCAGCAGUAGGGAAUCUUCCGCAAUGGGCGAAAGCCUGACGGAGCAACGCCGCGUGAGUGAUGAAGGUCUUCGGAUCGUAAAACUCUGUUAUUAGGGAAGAACAUAUGUGUAAGUAACUGUGCACAUCUUGACGGUACCUAAUCAGAAAGCCACGGCUAACUACGUGCCAGCAGCCGCGGUAAUACGUAAGUGGCAAGCGUUAUCCGGAUUUAUUGGGCGUAAAGCGCGCGUAGGCGGUUUUUUAGUCUGAUGUGAAAGCCCACGGCUCAACCGUGGAGGGUCAUUGGAAACUGGAAAACUUGAGUGCAGAAGAGGAAAGUGGAAUUCCAUGUGUAGCGGUGAAAUGCGCAGAGAUAUGGAGGAACACCAGUGGCGAAGGCGACUUUCUGGUCUGUAACUGACGCUGAUGUGCGAAAGCGUGGGGAUCAAACAGGAUUAGAUACCCUGGUAGUCCACGCCGUAAACGAUGAGUGCUAAGUGUUAGGGGGUUUCCGCCCCUUAGUGCUGCAGCUAACGCAUUAAGCACUCCGCCUGGGGAGUACGACCGCAAGGUUGAAACUCAAAGGAAUUGACGGGGACCCGCACAAGCGGUGGAGCAUGUGGUUUAAUUCGAAGCAACGCGAAGAACCUUACCAAAUCUUGACAUCCUUUGACAACUCUAGAGAUAGAGCCUUCCCCUUCGGGGGACAAAGUGACAGGUGGUGCAUGGUUGUCGUCAGCUCGUGUCGUGAGAUGUUGGGUUAAGUCCCGCAACGAGCGCAACCCUUAAGCUUAGUUGCCAUCAUUAAGUUGGGCACUCUAAGUUGACUGCCGGUGACAAACCGGAGGAAGGUGGGGAUGACGUCAAAUCAUCAUGCCCCUUAUGAUUUGGGCUACACACGUGCUACAAUGGACAAUACAAAGGGCAGCGAAACCGCGAGGUCAAGCAAAUCCCAUAAAGUUGUUCUCAGUUCGGAUUGUAGUCUGCAACUCGACUACAUGAAGCUGGAAUCGCUAGUAAUCGUAGAUCAGCAUGCUACGGUGAAUACGUUCCCGGGUCU